GACUCUGUGGCGCAACGGUAGCGCGUCUGACUCCAGAUCAGAAGGCUGAGUGUUCAAAUCACGUCAGGGUCA
rnacentral:tRNA from 1 species